rnacentral:lncRNA from 1 species
CUGUAAGGGACCCUGUUACUCUCUGCCCCGGGUAUGGAGGAGCUGCGUCCUGGAGACCAGAGUGUUUGCCGCUGUCCUCAUCUUUCCUGGCAAGAUCCUUGCACUGUGCCUGUCCUGUCUUUAAGCCAACUGAUCAUGGACUGAAUCACCUAAAAACUGACCCUGUGCUCACAAAGCACUUGGCAGCGGAGGCUCCAACCAAGAAGCACACUGACAGUGGACUAGACCAACUGACUUGAGAGAAGGUACGUCCUGGAGGAUGGCAACUCCAGGGAGAAGUAACAGACUUGGCCAGGAGCUCCAGAUCCAGCAAAACCCCAAGUUAUGGUAAACUAGAACAGCCCAGGGUUUCACUUAAAAUGUGACUUCUUCACAGCAGGUUAGAAUUGGAGAAGAAACCCAGUGCGGUGUCCACCAUAUUUCCAGAGUAAUAAUCAGGUCUCAUUUGGAGAAAGCGUUGUGAAGACUGCGUCACAGAGCAACUCGACUUCAGUGAUUCCAGCAUUACUUUCUUACAGAGACUGGCUGAGAGACAGUCACAGGAGACAGCCUCAGGGUGGGUGGGAACUGGACAUACAGCCCUGAGGAUUUUAAACUCUGGCCAGGAAGGACAUGGGCCCUGUCCUCUCUGGAGAGAAAAUAGGCACUGUGAUUGGGGCUUCCAGAGAGGCAGGAUCUGUCUACUGGAACCACCCGCCUACUGUCUACAUCUAGAGAGAUUAGUGGUCUAAUUGUUUUCCCCAUGUACAAAUGUGAACAACAGAUAUGAGUCAUCUUGGAUGGUUGCCACAUUCUGGGGUGUACAGACACAGGGAUGGAUCCCUGGAGCAGAAACGGGGCACCUCACAAACCCAUAGACCAUAAAGCUAAGCGGAGAAAAGGAUGACUUGCUGGAUUCAAAGACUAAAAACCCUAGAAAGAACCAUACAUUCAAAAAAAGAGACAAAAAAUAAUUGGCUCAAUUUUGUUUUCCUAUUUAUUUCCGUCAUUGAUUUGUGGGAGUCUUAUUUCUUUAUCCUAAUUUCUUUUUCUUUUCUUCUUUAUUUUCUUUUCUUUUCUCCUUCAGUUCCUUUUUUUAAGGUUCAUUUUCUUCUUUUAUUUGGCUUUCUGAUUUUUUCCUUUUCCUUCUUAUUCAUAUUUUUUUACUUUUAUCUAAUGUUAUUAAUUUCCUUUUGUCCCUCAAGAAAAUCCUUUAUUACACUUUUCUCCCCUACUUCUCAUCUUCUGUUAAUUUUUUAAAUUCUUUUUUUCAUUCUCAUUUCCCAUGCCUUUUAUCUUUCU